GACUCUGGAGCAGUCAGACAUGGCGGGGUCCGAGGGGUCAGGGUGCUCCCAGGACGGGGCCUGAGCAGGUCCUUCGUGUGUGUUGCCGCAUUGCCAUGUGUCGGAGACCGGCUCUGCUUCUCCCUCAGGACGGCAAUGGCUACAUCGACGAACACGAGCUCGACGCUCUGCUGCGGGACCUGUGCGAGAAGAACAAGCAGGACCUGGACAUUAACAACAUCCCCAACUACAAGAAGAGCAUCAUGGCCUUGUCGGAUGGGGGGAAGCUGUACCGGACGGACCUCGCCCUCAUUCUCUCUGCUGGGGACAACUAGAGCGUAGCCCGGCCACUCACUAGCGGUACACCUUACCUAAAAACUCCUGCGCGCGCUCUAAGGGAGUAUCUGUGCUUCCUGUCAUAGCUGUACAUCUAACUGCCUACGAUAACUGUCCCGGUGUGUGCACAAUCCUUCCGCUUGUUUCUAUCUGCUUGUAAUGUACAGUUUUUGUAACCACAGGACUGAAAAGAUCGUCUAUGCUUAAGCCAGUCAAUACACCCAUUAAACAUAACCUGGCACAUUCCUGCUUUUGUACAUGGAGUUGGACAGCAUUUCCCCAAAAAAUUCAUCAGGAUUAAUCUCUACAACUUUAGUCACUGAUGUGUUAAUGCAAGUUUUUCACUGAAGCAUUCUUAAUUCAGACAAUCACAGGUCAAUCCCACAAAAUCGUUCGAAGCUGUAUCUCCAGUUGCUGAGAGGACUGUGCUUUCACAUCUAGAAUACCCUCGUCCACCCUUAGUUAGUUAAUGGGCCCCGGGAGCAGGAUGUAGUCCGUGAGCCGCACGUCUCCUGCUUGACCUCACCACGUGCUGGUCAGGCGAUUUGGUGACAAGACAGUGCCCGGCGGACACCACACUGUGUCUGAUCCAUGAGCGUCUCCCACACACUCGUUUCGGAGGACGGCCUCAGCCCACUUUCUAAACGGUUUGCACGUGUUGGGGAUGACAAUUAUUCUAGAAAAUGCUGUUUGAUGUCGUGUCCUGUCCCCUCUGAUUAAAUCCCACAUGCCGAGCA